AUUAAAUAGAGUUUGAUCCUGGCUCAGAAUAAAUGCUAUCGGUAUGCUUAACACAUGCAAGUUGAAUGUUUUUAAAACAUGGCGAACGGGUGAGUAACACGUGAAUUAUCUACCUUUUAAUUCGGAAUAAUUAUUUAUAUAAAAAUUCGGAAUAAAUAUAUUAAAGUUUUUUAACGUUAAAAGAUGAGUUUGCGCAAGAUUAUGGUAGUUGGUAGUUUAAAAGACUACCAAGCCUAUUAUCUUUAGCUGGUUUGAAAGAAUGAUCAGCCACAUUGGGACUGAGACACGGCCCAAACUUUUUUAAAGGCAGCAGUGGGGAAUUUUGGACAAUGAGCGAAAGCUUGAUCCAGCAAUACCGAGUGAGUGAUGACGGCUAAUUAGGUUGUAAAGCUCUUUCAUUAAGGAGGAAAAUGACAGUACUUAAAAAAGAAGUUCCGGCUAAUACCCGUGCCAGCAGCCGCGGUAAUACGGGAGGAGCGAGCAUUAUUCGGAAUGAUUAGGCGUAAAGGGUUUGUAGGUGGUUUUUUAAGUUGAAAGAAACAAAUUAAAGCUCAACUUUAUACAUUUUUUCAAAACUAAUAAACUGGAGUAUAAAUAGAGGAUAAUGGAAUUUCUAUUGGAGUGAUAAAAUACGUUGAUAAUAGAAGGAAGAUCUAUGGCGAAGGCAAUUAUCUGGGGUAUAUACUGACACUGAGAAACGAAAGCUUGGGUAGCGAACGGGAUUAGAUACCCCGGUAGCCCAUGCUGUAAACGAUGAGUGCUAAUAUUUAGAAUUUUUAGAUAUAACAGCUAACGCGUUAAGCACUCCGCCUGAAAAGUAUAAUCGCAAGAUUGAAAUUCAAAGGAAUUGACGGGAGUCUACACAAGCGGUGGAGCA
rnacentral:ncRNA from 1 species